CAGAACCCUCCGCAGAAUAAGCGAGACACCCACACCCAGACCUGAACGAGUCGAAUCGUUGCGGCGGCGGCGGCAUCCUCCUAUUCCUCCUCCCCCUCGCCCGCCUCGUCUCUCACCGCUGACUCGCCAGUGCCACAGGGUCCACUCUCAGUAGUCUUUCCUAUAGACAACCGUGGAAGUCCUGUAGGAAUGAGCGAGCUGAGAAGCCACCUGAACCGGACAAAGCAUAUGAUGACACUAGGUCAGCAGGCGCGCUACGCCGCGCCCAUCCGAUGGUGUCUGUGAGCCGAAACUUCUGUUUGUUCAGUCUUGAGCAUUGUCAUGGGCUUCCAUGUUGCGUGUGGGCUGGGCUCCUGCUAUGCUUGUGGAUUGGACUGUCAGUACACGGCGUGUUUGCUGUUGGUGGUGUUUGAUCGUGAAGCAGGUCGGUAUGAUCGGCAUGAUGAGACAGAGGCGGUUUGGAGAGGUUGGUUUGUAUGGCUGGUUUCGUUGGAGGCAAGGCAGCCCGUGUAUUUUAAUAGAGGCCGGUCUUAGGCUGUGUUUUGUGUGUGUGGAGGCACUGCAAGUGGCUGUGAAGAGCUGCCGACGGUCUCAGCGUUGAGGCAAUGGCGGCUAUUACUGGUUAGUAGACGUGACUCUUUGCUUGUGUAAUGUGAAGGCGAAAUGGUACUGUAUUUUGCGUUUUCAUUUGCUCUGGAA